rnacentral:tRNA from 1 species
GAGAGUAUAUCUCAGUGGUAGAGUGCCUGCCUAGCCUGUGUGAGGUCCUGGGUUCAAUCCCCAGUACCUCCA